UACGGAGGUGGCAAGCGUUGUCCGGAAUUACUGGGCGUAAAGGGCGUCUAGGCGGCCUCUCAAGUCUUGUGUGAAAUCUCCCGGCUCAACUGGGAGGGUGCAUGAGAAACUGAAAGGCUAGAGACUCGAAGGGGGAUGCGGAAUUUCCGGUGGAGCGGUGAAAUGCGUUGAUAUCGGAAGGAACACCUGAGGCGAAGGCGGCAUCCUGGUCGGGAACUGACGCUGAGGCGCGAAAGCGUGGGGAGCAAACAGG
rnacentral:misc_RNA from 1 species